rnacentral:lncRNA from 1 species
CGCUAAUUAUCAGAUGGAAGUGUUACACUCCACCCUUAAAUAAGAGUAAAUCUACCCUUAGAUGAGGACAAAGAAAAAAAAACUUAACUAAAAAUCUGCUCAUAAUUAAUUUAAUUAAUAUCUCAAGCUACUAAUACAAAUAACUCCGUUAACUCAUCAUUUCUCUAAUCAACUUAACACAAAUAAAGGAUAAUGCCAAACUCUUAUUUAUCG